rnacentral:snoRNA from 15 species
CUGCGAAUAUUCUCGCUGUCCUGGUUUUGUGGUAGCCAGGGCAGGCUAACCAUUCGCUAUAUUAAGACCAUGCAUGUGUCCCCAGGCUGAGUUCUCUCCCUGAGCCUGGUUUUAUCAAUGCUGGUGAUAAGU